GGAUUACCUUACUUUAUUACUGCUUAUUUCAUUCCUCAAUCAAUAUCUGCGUUCUUCAAUUUUUGGACUUCAUUUCUGCGUUCUGCGUUCUGCGUUCUUCAACAUAGUUCUUCCAUUUCUGGUUUUUAUGUUGCUGAAGUUUAUCCCCCAGAAAUUGUACGUGGAUCUAGUUCUUGUUUAGCGAUUCAAGGUUCCUUCCGUUGAUCUGAUUUGAUUGGAAUUCUUUGAGUCUUCAGAGACAGCAACAAUUUUGAUAGGGUUUUGUUUUGUUACACUCAACUUUUCUGCACUUCCUGUUUAUAUAUGGAGUGUAAGGGUAAGCAUAGUGAUAUUUCAGAAUUAAUUAGUUUUUGAUUGGUAAUCGUGAAUUCUGACCAGAGACCUUUCCAAGUUCACAAUUCUUUUUGUUGCUUUUUUGGUGGUGGUGGUCACGAUGGUGAUGGUGGGAGAGAAUGGUGGUAAUUGGGGAGGGGUAGAGAGAGGUUGGGGAAGAAGGGUUUAAUUGGAGAUAACUGGGUAAUUAGGUUUGAUUAAUGAAUUUAAUUGAAAAUUCAAGGUUAUGUAGCACAGUCAACGGUCAUUUGGUAAAUUGGUUGUAUCUCUGUCGUAUUUGAUAAGUUGAAGGCUGUUGUUUGUAAAAAAACGUUACGGUUGUUUAUUUAAAAACCAAUUAAUACAGCAUUGUUACCCAUUUCCUUAUUUUCUUAUUUUACCAACUAACAUUGAAAAUACACUGCAGAAAGAUUAAUAAAGUCAUAAAGAAGGGAAAUUUUAAGGAAUGAGUAUUAAUUAUACCUUUGAUUGUGCUUAGAAUAAGUUGGGUGGCUUCAAAAAUUAGACUUUUUGGUGGCAUUACAUCCCCAUUUAGCUUAUAUAGGAAGUAAUCUAUGAAAGAAAAUGGUGUCACUGAUAAAAUUGGAUUUUUCUUUUUUUAAUUGAAUUAAUUGUUCCCAUAAAGAAGCUGAUAAAAUUGCAUCUUCUGAUACUUUUUUCUGAAAUCUGAUUCUUGAUUGUGAUGUAAUUUCUUGAUACAAUUUUGUUAUACAGCUUGAUUUUUGUUUGAUACAAUUUUGAUUUUGAUUUUUGAGUCUAAUUUUUGUUAUACAGCUUCUAAUUAAUUCUCAUAAAUGGAUCGAAUUAUGCAAUCCUUACGGAGAAAAAGACGUCUAAAACAACUUCAAUUGGUAGUAACAAAUGUAGUUGUAGUUCUUAUGAUGUAUUGGGUUUGGUAUAUGACAAGUAUUGCUACGGUUAGGGGUGUUCAAUUGAUCCAAAGUAAAAGAGAUAGAAAAAUAUUGCGCUUAAAAAUUAUGCAUCGCUUAAUACAAGAAAGUGAUGUGCAUUGCAAAAGUGAACUUCGGGUUAAUAGACAAACCUUUAAUAUUAUUUGUGAGAUGCUUAAGGAGAUUGGAGCCAAAAUAUGUCUCUUGAUGAGAUAGUCGCCAUGUUUUUGUACACUUUAGCUCACCAUAAAAAAAACAGAUCUAUUGCUCACUUUUUCAUAAGAAGUGGAGAGACCGUGAGUCGGCAAUUCAACUUAUGUCUGAGGGCUAUACUUAAGUUGCAUGAGCAUUUGCUUUACAAGCCCACACCAAUAUUAGAAGAAUGUGAAGACGAAAGGUGGAAACCUUUUAAGAAUUGUUUAGGAGCAUUGGAUGGUACCUACGUAAAUGUAACUGUACAUCCCCAAGGUCGUGGUAAAUAUCGGACAAGAAAAGGUACCAUUGCUAUGAAUGUGUUGGGUGUUUGUGCACCCAACAUGCAAUUUAUCUAUGUUCUUCCGGGUUGGGAAGGCUCUACCCACGAUGUUCGUGUUCUUCGCAAUGCUCUCACUAGGCCAAAUGGCUUUAGGGUUCCUAGAGGUAACUAUUAUUUGGUCGAUGGGGGGUAUACAAACUGUGAGGGUUUUCUUGCUCCAUAUAGAGGGCAACUAUAUCAUCUUAAGGAAUGGACAGAUAGACAACCACAAACUGCAGAAGAGUAUUACAUUAUGAAGCAUGCUCGAGCAAGAAAUGUAAUUGAAAGAUGUUUUGGGUUACUUAAAGGGAGAUGGAGUAUACUUAGAAGCCCCUCCUUUUUCCCUAUUCGAACUCAAGGACGUAUUGUGAUGGCUUGUUGUUUACUUCAUAAUUUAAUAAGGAAAGUGAUGCCCACAGAUGAUGUAGAAGAAGAGAAUAUGAGUAAUGACAAUUCCGAUAACGAUUCUGAUGAUGAAGUUGAAUACAUUACUACAAUAGCUACUUCUGAUCGAUGGACUAAUUAUAGAAAUACGUUAGCUCAAGAUUUGUUUAAUGCUUGGAGGGCAAGAGUUAGACAAGGUACUUGAAAUGGAGGUGAAUACCAUUAGCCAAGAGGGAAGUAGUAGAGGGAGGGGCAAGAAUAAGCGCUUUUGGACAUGUCAAGAAGAUUCGAUGCUUAUAAAGUAUUUACACCAAUUGUCUAUUGAUCCUAAGUGGAAAGGUGAGGGCGGUUUUAAAAAUGGUUACAUGAGUAGGUUGGAAGAGUUGAUUAAUGGUGAGCUUCCUAGUUGUGGUUUGAAGGCUUUUCCGCACAUUGAAUCAAGAAUCAAACAUUGGUCAGAGAAAUACAGUGCACUAGCUGAGAUGUUAUCUACUUCGGGAUUUGGAUGGGAUGCCGAUAAGAAGAUGUUGCAAGUAGAGAGAGCAGUGUUCGAUGAAUGGGCAAAGGGUCUGUUAGGAUUGUGAGCAGGGACUGUAGCAGUCCACAUGAUUCAACAUCCUUGAGGAAGCAGUCCACAUGACUUUAUUCAAUGUACAUAAGAAGGCUAAAGGAUUGUAUGGGGUACCUUUUCCUCACUAUGACAUCCUUGAGGAGAUUUAUGCUAAAGAUAAGGCCACGGGUGAUCAAAGUGAGUCUUUUGUGGAAGCAAUCAAUUGCAUAGAUGUUGAAGUUACAAAGAAGUCAAUUUUCAUAGCUAGUGAUGAGGAGGAUGAUGCUGAUUCAAGAAGUCGGUCAACUACUCACUCUAUACAAUUCAAGAAGCGCUCGAUUUAACAAGAGAAUGAUAAUUCAACAUCUUCAAAAGAACCCAAGCUCAAGGAAUCGAAACGAAAGAAAAAUCUUCAAAGUGAUGUUGAUAAUUUGGUUUCUUCUCUUCAUGAAGCUACAAGUAAUUUCGGGAAAAUUUUUGAUAAUAUUAAUGUUAAUCUUGGCACAAUGGCUAAUGCGUGGGCCAAAGCCGAGGAGAGAGAGCAGAAGAUGGAUGAAAAAGUGAAUAAAGUCUUGGAAGAGGUUAUGAAAUUAGAUGGCAUCUCACCCUCUGAAGCUUUAGAAGUAGCUACAAUUCUCAUUGCUGAAGAACACAAGCUUCGCAUCUUUUAUCAAGCUCAUUCGAACCUCAAGAAACAAUAUGUGCUCGAUCUUCUUAAGAAAAAGUGAAAGCGGUCUUCUAAAAAGACAUGAGUUGAGAUGUUGUUAUUAGUGGUUGAACUUGUAGUAUGUGCUUGCAGAUUAUUAGUUGAAUACUUGCAUAAUAGUAUUGCAAAUUGCUAUGUUUUAUCUUAUUUAGGCUUGAACUAUGUUGAGUUUUAUCAAAGAAAUCUUGUUUUAAUGUUUGCUUAAGUUAAUUUUUGUACAAAAAUGACAAAAUGUCCUUUGUAGAUUAUUACAAAAAAUAUCAACUUAUGUGACAAACCAAACAAUAAGUAAGGGAAACGUAAACAAGUGUUUCCCUUACAUUGUUAUUCCAAACAACAUAUAACCAUAACCCUUACCUUU